rnacentral:rRNA from 1 species
ACUUUGCAAUGUGCGAAAGCACGACAAGGUUAAUCCGAGUGUUCCCUGCUAAAGGAAUCUUUUGCUAGUCGUAAAACCACUAAUGAAUAAGGGGUGGGCAAGUUCUGGUGUCAGCCGCCGCGGUAAAACCAGCACCUCAAGUGGUCAGGAGGUUUAUUGGGCCUAAAGCAUCCGUAGCCUGAUCUAUAAGUUUCCGGUUAAAUCCAAAUGCUCAACAUUUGGGCUGCCGGAAAAACUGUAGAUCUAGGGGAGUGGGAGAGGUAGACGGUACUCGGUAGGAAGGGGUAAAAUCCUUUGAUCUAUUGAUGACCACCUGUGGCGAAGGCGGUCUACCAGAACACGUUCGACGGUGAGGGAUGAAAGCUGGGGGAGCAAACCGGGAUUAGAUACCCGCGUAGU